rnacentral:rRNA from 1 species
CCUACGGGUGGCAGCAGUGAGGGAUAUUGGUCAAUGGGGGAGACCCUGAACCAGCAACGCCGCGUGAGGGAUGACUGUUUUCGGAUUGUAAACCUCUGUUAUCUGUGCAAAUAAGGACGGUAGCAGAGGAGGAAGCUCCGGCUAACUACGUGCCAGCAGCCGCGGUAAUAUGUAGGGAGCAAGCGUUGUCCGGAUUUACUGGGUGUAAAGGGUGCGUAGGCGGCUUUGAAAGUCAGAAGUGAAAUCCAUGGGCUUAACCCAUGAACUGCUUUUGAAACUGGAGAGAUUGAGUGUAGUAGAGGUAGGCGGAAUUCGCGGUGUAGCGGUGAAAUGCGUAGAGAUCGGGAGGAACACCAGUGGCGAUGGCGGCCUACUGAUCUCCAACUGACGCUGAUGCACGAAAGCGUGGGUAGCAAACAGGAUUAGAUAUCCCAGUAGUC